AGACCCGAAACCCGGUGAUCUAGCCAUGGGCAGGUUGAAGGUUGGGUAACACUAACUGGAGGACCGAACCGACUAAUGUUGAAAAAUUAGCGGAUGACCUGUGGCUGGGGGUGAAAGGCCAAUCAAACCGGGAGAUAGCUGGUUCUCCCCGAAAGCUAUUUAGGUAGCGCCUCGUGAAUUCAUCUCCGGGGGUAGAGCACUGUUUCGGCUAGGGGGCCAUCCCGGCUUACCAACCCGAUGCAAACUGCGAAUACCGGAGAAUGUUAUCACGGGAGACACACGGCGGGUGCUAACGUCCGUCGUGAAGAGGGAAACAACCCAGACCGCCAGCUAAGGUCCCAAAGUCAUGGUUAAGUGGGAAACGAUGUGGGAAGGCCCAGACAGCCAGGAUGUUGGCUUAGAAGCAGCCAUCAUUUAAAGAAAGCGUAAUAGCUCACUGGUCGAGUCGGCCUGCGCGGAAGAUGUAACGGGGCUAAACCAUGCACCGAAGCUGCGGCAGCGACACUGUGUGUUGUUGGGUAGGGGAGCGUUCUGUAAGCCUGUGAAGGUGUGUCGUGAGGCAUGCUGGAGGUAUCAGAAGUGCGAAUGCUGACAUAAGUAACGAUAAAGCGGGUGAAAAGCCCGCUCGCCGGAAGACCAAGGGUUCCUGUCCAACGUUAAUCGGGGCAGGGUGAGUCGACCCCUAAGGCGAGGCCGAAAGGCGUAGUCGAUGGGAAACGGGUUAAUAUUCCCGUACUUGGUGUUACUGCGAAGGGGGGACGGAGAAGGCUAUGUUGGCCGGGCGACGGUUGUCCCGGUUUAAGCGUGUAGGUGUGUGUUCCAGGUAAAUCCGGUUCACUUUAACACUGAGGCGUGACGACGAGGCACUACGGUGCUGAAGCAACAAAUGCCCUGCUUCCAGGAAAAGCCUCUAAGCAUCAGGUAACAUCAAAUCGUACCCCAAACCGACACAGGUGGUCAGGUAGAGAAUACCAAGGCGCUUGAGAGAACUCGGGUGAAGGAACUAGGCAAAAUGGUGCCGUAACUUCGGGAGAAGGCACGCUGACACGUAGGU
rnacentral:rRNA from 1 species